AUUCAUUCUUAUCUCUUGCAUCAGUACUGAGUGUGAGCAUUCUAUAUCAUAUUCUCUAGUCACAUUCAAGCAACGGAGUACAUUCAUAUCUCUGGAGGUAUCGACUCUGUUCUGCUCUGAUUUGAAAUUCUUAUAGUUUCCUUUUCAAUGGAAGUUGUAGAUAAUGGGUUUGUGUUUAUGUUUAUGUUUGUAUUUGCAGUAACUUAACGUUUCAGAGUCUUUUUCAAAUAAUGGAUCACUGGUUUCUUUCUCGCCAAUUCUCCAUUCUCCCUCUGCGUAUUAGUUAAAUCAGGUAAAGUAAUCUUUUAUCAUUUUCCACUUCCAAAUUACAAACAUCAUCUUUAUUUCACAUCCCAUUAUCAAUUAUGCUUCAUAUAUGUAGAACAUGAACAUUUUUAACAUCAUCUGAAUAAUAAAUGGAUCAGUGAAAUACAAGAUGCUUUCUCAAAUUAUGCUUACAUUCACUAACUUUAUGAAGGUAUAUGUGUAAUGUGAAAAAGAGUGAUAUUUAAUAUAUAAAUGGAAAAUUUGUGUAAAAUUUUAAAAGGAGUUUGGUCUCAGUUUAAUUUCAGAAAACAUAACAGUAUCAGUUUACUUUAAACGGAGCUAAUGUCCUUUCUAAGAGAGAGUAAAAGUGUAAUUAGCUCAAAAGUUUAUUUAAAUCUAAUUAAUUUUUGUACACGAUGAGUUAUUUGAAAUUAAAUGAGUAUUUUUAAUUUUUAAUUUUUUUUCUCUCUUUGAGUUUAUUAGUAAAGAAAAAAAUAAGACAAACAAAAUUAUAAUCAUAAUAAGUUAAACACAAGGAUUUAAGUAAUGAAAUCUAGUUCAAUUUCAUUAAACUAAUUUAAUAAUUAUAUAUAUAUAUCAUAGGACAUUGGAAUGGUAAACAGAUAGGUUUGAUACAUAUCUAACUAAUUUUGCUAAGAUAGAUUUUUAACAACUUUAAAAUCAUAUUAAGGUAGUGGUAUUUAAUCCUAAUUUAAUUUUAUAAUAUUAAUUUAGUAAGGUAAGAUUUGUAUUCGGUUAUGUAUUAUAAUUUGUACAUAUUUUUAGUUAAUGUGGAAUUUCCAACACACCUUAUGUUAAGGACAUCAAGCAUUCACAUAUUAAAAAAGUAGCUGAGAAUGUGAGUUUUGUAUAGUUAAUGUGAGAUUUUCAACAUACUUCCUUACAUCGAAGACAUCAAACAUGGAAAUAGAGGAGGACUAGAUAACUAAUGACACAAUCGACAUUACUAAUCUUGCUAGAAUAGACUAUUAGUGGCUUUGGUAAUGUGAAAAACACAUGGCAAAAUUUAAAGAUUUUUUAAUAACUACAUGAUAUAGAAAGCCCAAAUAGGAUUUUGAAAUUAUGCGAUUCGAUUCUCACAUAUAUUAAAGAAAGAGUAUGCGUACCUUUUUUCACGAGAGAUCACCUGUUAAUGCUCUAGAGAUUUGAUUUAAUGAAUGACUCUAAGUUUUCUUUAGUGAUUUUGAAUCUCUAUUUUACAAUCUUCUUUCUUGAUGGAUGUAACACGAAGAAACAUAUGGGAAAGCUUGCUUUGACUAGUACCAAGUUUCACCCACUUCCAGUUCGUAGUAUUAUUCAUCACUCCUAGUAUCCCUAGACACUCCCUAUAUCCUUUAGAUACACUUGUUUAGUUGAGUUUCACCCACUCCUGGUUUCCACUAGACACAACUGUCUAGUUACUAUUUAACUUCCAAGUUAAACGUCAUAGUUUCACACAUUCCCGGUUUCCACUAGGCACACUUGUCUAGUUACUGUUUAACUCCUCAAAGUUAAACGUAAAGUGUUUUAAUUCUCUUCAGAAUUUACAAUCAAACGAUUGGUUACAAGUUCUUAGACAAUAACUCUCGUAGAGAGGAUAUAUGUUCAGUACAAAUCAUGUAAUAGACUCACUGAGUGUUUUCUCUCUUCUUUUUUCUUAUAACAGUAAGCUUAUAUAUCAAUGAAACUUGAGUGUUUAUUAUCUUGAGCUUUUCUCUCUCUCUGAUAUUCUCUUUUUAGUACGUGCAUUUUUUGAGCUUUUCUUUCGAUGUUUCUUCACAUGAGCUCUUUCUUUUUAUAUGCUACUCUCGUGAUUCUCUUUUUGAAUCAUCUUCUAUUUAAAGGCUUCUCAAAAAGAUAUUCGUUAGACAGAGCUUUUGUCUUGAUCCUUGAGUCUUCUUAGUCUUGUUGUAUGAAGCAGCUGUUGGGAUAAACUUAAAUUUUAGAUUUAUUACUUUAUUAGGUUUGGGUAUAGUAAUAUUUGUUUUGAUUUGAUAGAGAUAAAAGAGGAAUGGAUAGUUAUGAUUUUGUGUUUACUAGGUAGAAUAUUAUUUUAUGAUAGAAUAAGGAGAUUUUAUUUUUAGGUAAGUUGAUAUUUUAUUGUCAGUUUUUAUUAUUUGUACUUGGCCCAAGACCCGAUUUGUACCUAUUUAAAGGUUGCUAAGGUUUAAUGAAAAUAACCCACAAUGGAUUGAAUUGAAGAGUAAAAUUAUUUGUGUGGGUCAUAUGAGUGUGUAUAAUGAGAUUUUUCCAACAGCAGCUGAUGGUUAAAGUCAACUUGUCAGGACAGACUUGCUUUUUCAAUACUUUGACAAAAGUAGGUGAUACGAUUUUCUUGGCAGGACUUCUGAUGCAGAGAACAUUCUAUGAAUGUCUUCUUUGUUCUUAACGUCUACUUUUGAUUUGUAUAGGAUGAAGCAGGUUGAUGUGUGUAAUAGGCAAUAUACACAAAGUAGAGUAGAUAUGCAUACAACAAAUAUGUCUUUUCUUUUAUAAUUUUUGUUAAUUUUAAACAUUGAGCAUUU
rnacentral:lncRNA from 1 species